rnacentral:lncRNA from 1 species
AUGAUGAGUGCUUUGAGGGUGGAAAGAGGAAGCGGAGAAAGAGAAGGCUGUGGAACGUGGGGAGAGACGGGUCCGUUCAGGAGCAGUAAUGAAAACUGCCUUGAAAGAACGGAGCUGCAGAAAGAGCCUGUCUCUGUCCCUCCCUCCUUCCCUCUAUGUCCCUGUCGCUGUCCCUCUUUCUGUUCCUCUCUGUCUCUGUCCCUGUCUCUGUCCCUCUCUGUCGCUGUCCCUGUCUCAGUCCCUUUCCCCAUCCGUCUCUAUCCCUCUCUGUCCCUGUCACAGUCCCUCUCUCUGUCAUUCUCUCUCCCUGUUGCUGUCCCUGUCUCUUUCCAUCUCUGUCUCUGUCCCUGUUGCAGUCCCUCUCUCUGUCCCUGUCUCUGUCCCUGUUGCAGUCCCUCUCUCUGCCCCUCUCUCUGUCCCUCUCCCUGUCUCUGUCCCUGUCUCUGUCCUGUCUCUUUCCCCGCCUGUCUCUAUCCCUCUCUGUCCCUGUCACAGUCCCUCUCUCUGUCAUUCUCUCUCCCUGUUGCUGUCCCUGUCUCUUUCCAUCUCUGUCUCUGUCCCUGUUGCAGUCCCUCUCUCUGCCCCUCUCUCUGUCCCUCUCCCUGUCUCUGUCCUGUCUCUUUCCCCGCCUGUCUCUGUCCCUCUCCGUCCCUCUCCGUCCCUGUCACAGUCCCUCUCUCUGUCAUUCUCAGUCCCUGUCUCUGUCCCUGUUUCUGUCCCUCUCAGUCCCUCUCUCUGUCCCUGUCUCUUUCCAUCUCUGUCUCUUUCUCUGUUGCAGUCCCUCUCUCUGCCCCUCUUUCUGUCCCUGUCUCUGUCCCUCUCUCUGUCUCUGUCCCUGUCUCUGUCCUGUCUCUUUCCUCAUCUGUCUCUAUCCCUCUCUGUCCCUGUCACAGUUCCUCUCUCUGUCAUUCCCUCUCCCUGUUGCUGUCCCUGUCCCCUUCUGUCUGUGUCUCUGUCCCUGUUGCAGUCCCUCUCUCUGUCCCUGUCUCUGUCCCUCUCAGUCCCUGUCUCUUUCCAUCUCUGUCUCUGUCCCUCUCUGUCCCUGUCUCUGUCCCUUUCUGUCUGUGUCUCUGCCCCUGUUGCAGUCUCUCUCUCUGCCUCUCUCUCUGUCCCUCUCCCUGUCUCUGUUCUGUCUCUGUCCCUCUCUGCCCCUCUCUGCCUCUGUCCCUCUCAGUCCCUGUCUCUUUCCAUCUCUGUCUCUAUCCCUCUCUGUCCCUGUCUCUGUCCCUUUCUGUCUGUGUCUCUGCCCCUGUUGCAGUCCCUCUCUCUGCCCCUCUCUCUCUGUCCCCGUCUCUGGCCCGCUCUCGUCAUCAUCAUGUGCGCAGUACGGCAGCGAUGAUGAAUUUGCCGCGGCACGGCGGCUCCGUCCCGUUCACUCCUCCUCUUAUAAUUAACUUUCUCUCAGCAGCAGCAGCAGCAGCAGCAGCGGCGUGUUUGUUUGCUCGAGUCACUCACAGUCCGCGUUUCCCUGCUGCUGCGGAACAAACUGUCGAAAGACGGGACUCACCGGCGGCGGGAUUCCAGCGCCUCCACGUCCGAUUCAGCACCUCGGACAGCGACCGCUUCGCCUAG